rnacentral:lncRNA from 1 species
CAACAUGUAUCUGGAGAGAAUAUUCUUGGAAAAUUGGAAUUAGACCACUUGUGCCAUGGCAGCAGUGAGCAGAACCUGUAGAAGCUAAGCAGGUUGGGGUCCAUGACAGCACCAGCAAUGAAAUGGUCGUUCUGUUAGGGAGAAGCUGCCUGCUGGUCUCAGCUGGAAACUGAUGCUGUUUCACUAUCAAUGUCAAGAAUAGGACAGUGUCCUAGCAGCAAGUAAUGGUCAAAUGAUAUUGGAAGAGGAAGAAAAGAGACUCAGACCUGUAAGAUUCACAGCCUCCAUUCCUAAGAGAAAGGAAAGAAAGCAGCAGAGGUUGGUGAUUUUCUCCUAAAGGCCUCAUCUGUCUGCUGCAGCUGACAUCCUAGAGUAUGCUGCUUCCAGAGAACUCAGCUUUUACAAAUUACUAUAAAGUGGAUGCUUUUCAUCUCUCACAGUGAUCGCGACCCCAUGUGCCCUUCUAUUUGUGUCAUGCAUUCACUCUCGGGAACAAUCUCAAACUGAUCAAAAGCCACUGAAGAGAACUAAAAUUAUUUGGAAACAGAAGUCCAUCGCCAUCAUCCCAGGCAAUUGUUUAAAGAAAUUGUUGAAUUCUGCAUCAGCUGAACUGCUGAAACAAGGUCCUCUAAGUAGCAGCCUACAAAUAUAAUCUCCCUUUCACUUGUCCUCCUCACAGAAAUUCUGGGUUUGUCCUUUGACAGCCCUCCAGAGAAAGGACCACAGCAGGUGACUUACUACUCUUCCC